AAAAGUGAACGCACGUUUCAUUGAGAGGUAGUGUCACGACUCACGGCCGUGGCCAGCGCUACGUGAUACAAAUCCAAUUAGGCUGAAGUGCACUCGGCAUUGCAUUGAAAGGUAUACUCCUGAUUGCUGUUGCAUCAGUUUCCUGCACUCCACUAGAGUACACCGCUGCUAUACAAGCUAUGCCUCCCGGAGUUAGCUACACAACUCUGAGCGAAAAUCAAAUUCCUCGGGCCAGUUCGUUUAAUUCCAAUUCUCUCCUAAGUAAUUCUCUAUUCCAAAUAAUUCUUGAUGAAGCUGGCAGCAAGAGACGCAUCCAAAGAUAUAGAU